rnacentral:rRNA from 1 species
UACGGGGAAAGAUUUAUUGCCGAAGGAACGGCCCGCGUCCGAUUAGCUAGUUGGUGAGGUAAUGGCUCACCAAGGCGACGAUCGGUAGCUGGUCUGAGAGGAUGACCAGCCUCACUGGGACUGAGACACGGCCCAGACUCCUACGGGAGGCAGCAGUGGGGAAUAUUGGACAAUGGGCGCAAGCCUGAUCCAGCCAUGCCGCGUGGAUGAUGAAGGCCCUAGGGUUGUAAAGUCCUUUUAACGGGGAAGAUAAUGACGGUACCCGUAGAAUAAGCCCCGGCUAACUUCGUGCCAGCAGCCGCGGUAAUACGAAGGGGGCUAGCGUUGCUCGGAAUUACUGGGCGUAAAGCGCACGUAGGCGGCUUUUUAAGUCGGAGGUGAAAUCCUGGAGCUCAACUCCAGAACUGCCUUCGAUACUGGAGAGCUCGAAGUUCGGGAGAGGUGAGUGGAACUGC